AUUGAACGCUGGCGGCAGGCCUAACACAUGCAAGUCGAACGGUAACAGGAAGCAGCUUGCUGCUUUGCUGACGAGUGGCGGACGGGUGAGUAAUGUCUGGGAAACUGCCCGAUGGAGGGGGAUAACUACUGGAAACGGUAGCUAAUACCGCAUAACGUCGCAAGACCAAUGAGGGGGACCUUAGGGCCUCUUGCCAUCGGUUGUGCCCAGAUGGGAUUAGCUAGUAGGUGGGGUAACGGCUCACCUAGGCGACGAUCCCUAGCUGGUCUGAGAGGAUGACCAGCCACACUGGAACUGAGACACGGUCCAGACUCCUACGGGAGGCAGCAGUGGGGAAUAUUGCACAAUGGGCGCAAGCCUGAUGCAGCCAUGCCGCGUGUAUGAAGAAGGCCUUCGGGUUGUAAAGUACUUUCAGCGGGGAGGAAGGGAGUAAAGUUAAUACCUUUGCUCAUUGACGUUACCCGCAGAAGAAGCACCGGCUAACUCCGU
rnacentral:rRNA from 1 species